AUCCUGUGACCCCACAGACAGGAUGUUCUCUGUGUCACAACUCCACAAGGGGCCCUUGUCAAGGCUUUUUUCUCCUCUUCCUCUUCCUCUUCUUCCGUCAUUCUUCUUUUAAUUCUGCCUCUCUGCCUCGUGCUCUGAGAGAUCCUCUUUGUACUAAAAACGCUGGGAACACAAACCCACAAAAGCAUAUUAGGGAUGUUUUUAGGUCUUGUGAUUAUGAUAGUGAUGUUAAAACUCAGCAUUUUAAUCAAAAUUCAAAAUCGUAUAAAUUUCUAAAAGUCUGCUGACAUAGGCGCCUAAUGAGGUGUGUUGAAGCUCAGGUACUUGUUUAAAAGAAAAGGUAAAAAUCAGACAAUCAUUAGUAAGAAACUAUUGAAUUGUUGGCAUUUGAAGCGCCUGGAAGAUACAGUCAGUUUGUGUUGAUUUUGGCGCCCCCUGUGCAAAGAGCAGCAUCUCUUUACGGAAACAGCUUUGAGCUUUAACAAUAACCACAUAAUAAGUCUGUCUUUAUGCAGAUGAUCUCAUUUGUUUUGUGGAUCACAGUGGCGUUUCAUGAGCUUCAAUUUCUCUAAAUGUUUCUGAGUUGGGUUCGAGUCAAUUCCUCCAAAUUAAAUUACUCUACGGGUUCUGUUCUUUAGUUAGUUAGGUUUUUUGUAUUAGUGCAAAAACGAUCAUAAAAAAGGAAAGAGACAUCUGCAUACAAAUUGCACAUGUAGGAUAAAAAAAAAGGGGUCUAGGUGUUCACAAAGGUCGAAAAGUUUUUAUUUAAGUGUUUCAAUUGAUGCAGACACUUCACUGUAAAAAAACGCGUAUUAUAGUCUACCUGCAGUCCCUUCAUUGUCCACCAGGAGGCUAAAUAGGAACAUUAGUCUUUUAAUUAGGCAAGUAUUCGAUUUUUCGACACUGGUGGUUUGUUUUUGACUGAUAGCUAUGAAUACUUUAUCUUCUAUCUUCUAUUUCUCCAUCAUUUUAACCUUUACAUUUCUCUUUAUCGAUUGCGAACUCACUACGUUGUCAGGUUUUCCGACACUAUUUCAAAUAAAGGAAAUCGGUCUGAUUUUUUAGGCUAACUUUGAAGGAACUUUAAAUAUCCUUGGUAAGAGAUAAUUAAAGGUGAUCAGAAAUGCCCUCGGGGAGAUGUUUGGCCAAAGGAAAAGUCUGAAUCGCUGCAUAUUUUCAGAAAUGAACCUUUGCUCUGUCCUGAACCUGGCAUACAAUGUAGAUUUCUGUGUGGUUCAAUUCUACAGCUACAUUGUCUGCUGGGUUUCUGGCUAGCAAUAUAAGCCCCCUGUUAUAUAAACCUUCCACACAGGUAAGCAUUCAUGUGUUCUGUCAAUGUGCCUCACAUACCUGACCUUGACUAUUCAAUAAAAAGGAAAUAUUUCACCUAAAUA